GGACUGGGAGGGACUGGGAUGGACUGGGAUAAACUGGGAGGGACUGGGAUGGACACCCCUGUCAUUCCCGCUGUUCUCCAGCCAGGAUCCCCCUCUCACUCCGGCUGUUGUUUUCCCGGCUGUUUCAGUCUGGCUGUUGUUUUCCCACAGUUUCAUUCCUGCUCUUUUUCCCCCUCAUUCCGGCUGUUUCGCUCCAUUUGUUUCACUCCAGCUGUUGUUUUUGCAGCUGUUUCACUCUGCCUGUUUCACUCUGGCUGUUGUUUUCCUGACUCUUUCACUCCGGCUGUUGUUUUUGCGGCUGUGUCACUCCGUUUGUUUCACUCCGGCUGUUGUUUUCCUGGCUCUCUCACUCCGGCUGUUGUUUUCCCGGCUGUUCCACUCCAUUUGUUUCACUCCAGCUGUUCCAUUCCGGCUGUUGUUUCAUUGUGGCUGUUCCACUAUGGCUGUUGUUUUUGCAGCUGUUGUUUUUGCGGCUGUUUCACUCUGUUUGUUUCACUCUGGCUGUUGUUUUCCCGGCUGUUCCACUCAAUUUGUUCCACUUUGGCUGUUGUUUUUGCAGCUGUUUCACUCCAGCUGUUGUUUUCCCGGCUCUUUCACUCUGGCUGUUGUUUCAGUCCAGCUGUUGUUUUCCUGGCUGUUUCACUCAGUUCGUUUCGCUCCGGCUGUUGUUUUUCACUCUGCCUGUUUCACUCCGGCUGUUGUUUUCCCGGCUGUGUCACUCCAUUUGUUUCACUCCGGCUGUUGUUUCACUCUGGCUGUUUCACUCUGGCUGUUGUUUUCACUCCGUUCAUUUCACUCUGGUUGUUGUUUCACUCCAGCUGUUGUUUCCCCGGCUGUUUCACUCCAUUCGUUUCACUCUGGCUGUGUCACUCCGGCUGUUGUUUCACUCCGGCUGUUGUUUCCCUCUGGCUGUUGUUUCACUCCGUUGGUUUCACUCCGGCUGUCCGUUCCGGCUGUUGUUUCCCCGGCUGUUUCACUCCGUUUGUUUCACUCCGGCUGUUGUUUCACUCCGGCUGUUGUUUCACUCUGGCUGUUGUUUUCACUCCGGCUGUUGUUUCCCCGGCUGUGUCACUCCACUCGUUUCACUCCGGCUGUUGUUUCACUCCGGUUGUUGUUUCACUCUGGCUGUUUCACUCCGGCUGUUGUUUUCACUCUGUUUCACUCCGGCUGUUGUUUCCCUCCGGCUGUUGUGUCACUCCGUUGGUUUCACUCCGGCUGUUGUUUUCACUCCAGCUGUUGUUUUCACUCCGGCUGUUGUUUCCCCGGCUGUGUCACUCCGUUGGUUUCACUCCGGCUGUUUGUUUCACUCCGGCUGUUGUUUCCCUCUGGCUGUUGUUUCACUCCGUUGGUUUCACUC
rnacentral:lncRNA from 1 species